rnacentral:tRNA from 1 species
GGCGACGUAGCCAAGUGGUAAGGCAGGGGCCUGCAAAGCCUUCAUCCGGCGGUUCGAUCCCGCCCGUCGCCUCCA